AGUGAACGCUGGCGGUAGGCCUAACACAUGCAAGUCGAACGGCAGCACAGUAAGAGCUUGCUCUUACGGGUGGCGAGUGGCGGACGGGUGCGGAAUACAUCGGAAUCUACUUUUUCGUGGGGGAUAACGUAGGGAAACUUACGCUAAUACCGCAUACGACCUACGGGUGAAAGCAGGGGAUCUUCGGACCUUGCGCGAUUGAAUGAGCCGAUGUCGGAUUAGCUAGUUGGCGGGGUAAAGGCCCACCAAGGCGACGAUCCGUAGCUGGUCUGAGAGGAUGAUCAGCCACACUGGAACUGAGACACGGUCCAGACUCCUACGGGAGGCUGCAGUGGGGAAUAUUGGACAAUGGGCGCAAGCCUGAUCCAGCCAUACCGCGUGGGUGAAGAAGGCCUUCGGGUUGUAAAGCCCUUUUGUUGGGAAAGAAAAGCAGCAGGUUAAUACCCCGCUGUUCUGACGGUACCCAAAGAAUAAGCACCGGCUAACUUCGUG
rnacentral:rRNA from 1 species